rnacentral:rRNA from 1 species
CCUCAUGCGCCAUGUGUCUUCCUCCGCACCGAACCCUAAACCCCACCCCAAUCCCUCCAGUCGCCGCUGCCCCCGCCCACAUCUCUCCUCCAUUCCCCUCCUCUCUCUCUCUCUCCUAUCCUCCCUCCUCGUCCGCGCGCGCAUCACCUAGCGCUCGUGCGCUCGCCUCCCGGACCAGCCUGCCGCCGCGCCGCUGGGGCUUGUCCGCCACAGAUUUCCUCGGGGAAGGAGCAACGACGGGAGUAGGCUCCAGGCGCACCUCCCGGACCAGCCCGCCGCCGCGCCGCUGUGGCUCGUCCGCAGCGGAUCUCCACGGGGAAGGAGCAGCGACGGGGGUAGGCUCCAGGCGGCGCGCACUUCAUGGGGUGGCAAGGAACAAGGAGGUGACGGGGUCGGGUCUGGCCGUGGUAGGUCGGAGCUCGAGCCCGAGGCCGUCAUGGUGAAGGUAAAAAAAUAGAGACUGGAUGGAGAUGCUCAAGGCGGAGGACCGCCCGUCGGCAAGCUCGAGCUGGAGAUGCGUCACCGGCCAUUGGAUGGGUUGGAGCACGAGGCAGCGCUCCCGUCGCUAUGCGGUGGAGCUGCGCAGGAGGGUGAGGAGGUUGGCGACAGGGAACCGGGCCGGGGAGGAGGCAAGUAUGAGCGGGUGCGUCAGGAAGCAGCUCUGAAUAUGGUUCCCGUAGAUGAAGAUGCCUUUCUGUUGGAUUUGCUUUUCUUGUUUAAGCAAUCAUUCAGGUUAUCGAAACACUCGUGUGCCUCUUUUCUUCAGUCAUUACUAAUGAUGAGUGUCGUGUGUCUGAUUUGAGGAAAAUGGUUUAGAGUAAUUACUUGUGGGAGGAUCGCUGGGUGGUAGCUGAGUGAUAGGGUUCAGAUUAGGGUUUACGAGUAUGAAGUAGAUGUGAUAGAUUGUAACUCUUCUCAUUUGAUUAAUUCAUCUCAAGAGGUCCUCUUUAUAUAUAGAGGCCUAACAAUUCAAAAACUAAUACGUACCUAUAAUCAUCCUUACAUGCAUACAUGCAUGCGUCGCUCUGGAGCCAAAAACUAAAUACGAGUAUGCAGGUUGCAGUCCCUUGUUCUACAUAUAACUUGCCAACUCUACUAAUUCAUGUAUCAGUAUAUGCAUAUAUGUAGUCCAUUCCUAGCGCAUGUGUUCGGAAGACUGGAUGCUUGUACUUACUCGAAAUUUUCUUUUAAUAAAAAGUUCAUUGGAAGAGAUUGCAAAGUUUAACAAGCAUGUCCCUUUUACAUCUAUUCACAGUGUGUCUUCUAUUGGUUUCACCACAUUUUUAGGUUCACAUUUUUUACAGGUUGCGUAUAGUAUAGGAGGCAUUGGUGAUGAAACAUGAAUGUCCAUUGAUCUUGUCCGCUCCUGAUCUCAGUAGACCUGUGUGAUGUGCUCUUGAUCCUUUCUCUCUUUUCUCGUUAAAAGAAUCUCAGACUGAGGAGAGCAUGUUCUUUAAUUAGGUUGCAAUCGUGAAACUUCUUUUGGUUUUUCUUAUUGUACAAUACGAAGCUUCCAAGUUGUUUGGUCCUGGAAAUAAGUUACCAAAUUUCUGUGUGCCGUGAGCUGGGAGCCGGGGUCAUCCCUCUCACCACCAGUCGAACAUACUACUUCAGCCACCAUGUCGAGCGAUAUAAAAGUGUUCUCUAUUUCAUAGAGCAACAACACAAGAUUGUGCCUCCUCUUGCUCCUGGUGCAUGUUGCUGCGCUCCUUUCUCCUCUGAUUUGACUUGCUUUACAUUGUGUGAAGUUGUUUACUUUCAACUUUACAAAGCUAUAUCAAGUUCGCAACUGUACUUGGCUACACCUGUAACAUAAUGCAUUUCUCUUCCAGUUUAUCGAAUAUAUUUUUAAGGAUUGAAUGUUCUAUCUGGUACUGUCCUAUCACACAUUUAACUAUCUUAAUUUGUUCACAAACCUCCUUCUGUAGUUACGAUUUCUUUGUACAACACGUACUAAUUAUUGGUCUUAUUCUUAAAUCUUAUUUCACGUUAUUCAGCUGCAGGCUGGGUUAAGAUUGUUUUUGUGCCAGAAACAGACUAGGCAAUGCUCUAACUUGGCAGCAAAAAUUGUCUAAAUUUCAUAAAUAAGGUCGUGGAAUAUCUUUGAAUAAGUUCAUUUGAAUAUCUUGAGUUGACCUGUAUGGGUUGCUUCUGUGCACACUUUCUUUGAUAUGAAUUUCUAGGAGAGAAAUUCUUUCAUGGUAAUGAUGUAUUAUCAAUAUUUACUCUGUUCUUAGGCCUAUAGGUUUCUUUUUGUGGGAUGCAAUUACGGUACCAUGUGAAUAUGAUCCUUGAGUCGCAUAUUAUUGCCCUUUUGGACAUAGACAUGUGCCAUGUAGUAUAACAUUUAUAAAGAAUGUCUUGGAAAUUGCAAGUAGAUGAUUACGGUUACCCUAUAACUUUAGGAGUAAGAUAUAUAUGGUGAUAGAAUCUAGAGAUACUUGUUAAUCUAUAACAAUAAGAUCCAGUCACCUGCAAUAUGUUUUAUUCACAUAAACAGGGAAUCAAUCUGGCUGGAAGUAGUCAUCUUAUGGCGUGGCAUGAAGAGAUGUGUGCAGAUCUGAGAAAGAAGAGGAAUAAUCCAGCAGAAGAAUUUGGUGAAUAAGAACAAGUUGGCAUUUCUCUCUUGUGAACACAGUCGUGCCUGCCUUUGGAUUUUAUUAUUUGUGCUAAUGCAAACAUGAAUUCUCUAUAGUUGUUUGCGCAGCACCGCUAAUUACUCAAUCUGCAAUACAUGAUUAUUUCUGUGAGAAGUUUAGUGCAUGAAUUAGCAUUCUGUGAAGUCUGUCUAAGCUCUUGUCUUUAGGCCUAGAUAGAUUUCUCAAUAUCAUUUUGGGAUUGUUUGAACACUGAACAACAUUGCCAGGUCAACCAUUUCUCAUGUCUUUGUCAUAUAUAUAGGUAUUGUGGUGUCUCAAUUUUGUCGCCAACCUCUUUCACCGGCCCGUAAACUAUCUGUCUCGAGGUUUCCCCAUCUGUAUUUGGGUUUCGAAAAACAAAUAACUGUUUUUGGACUUAUUUUCGCAUCAGCUACUUUGUAGGUAUUAUGUGCGUUGUCAGGGAUCUGAUAUCAUGUAGUUCCAGGGAUUUCAGAAGGCCUGGUCUGCCCAUUGUUCUUGCCAUGUGUUACUUUUUCUCAUUACUGUGAUCAUCAGUUCUCUUGACAUCUGUUGUUCUUGCUUUAUGGUUGUCUUCCCAGUGCACUUUUAUUAGUUCUAACAUAUUAAUUUUAAUAUGCUUGAUUGACCAUAUUAUAUAUUUCACUUCACCGGGAUGGUUGCUGGAAGUGUUGGUUAAAGUAUUUUGGUUAUAACAUUAGGUCUCUAAUUAUCAAGUUUAUACAGUUGAAUCUUCUUGAUUGACUAUUUUGUAGCCUGCUCUUAGUUAGUACAGAUGGUUUUUUGCCUUGGCAUUACUACCGCUAUGUACAGAUGGUUACUGAAAGAAGGAUUCAAGCAGCAUACCUACACUUGACAAAUGCUUUAACCGCAAGAACUGAUGUUAUUUUAUUUUGCUUUUCUGCAAUGAUGGUAGUUCUCAUUUGAUUCUAGAACCCGCAAAGGAAGGGUAGAGAUUUCCAUUGUUGUUGAAUUGGUGGGAUUGUCACCAAGUUAGUGUUGCAGAUUGUUUCUGUUUUAGAGCAAGAAGCCAAAUCAUGUUGUUCAUUGUAAAUCUUGAAAAACUUGUUUACUGUCACGUCUAUAUCUAUUAUAAACUUUCGUUCCUGGUGUGGUACUUACCAAUCUUGGUUCGCCCUUCCAUUGCAGGAGACCAAUAUUUCUUUGUUUCUUCAAAAGAAAAUCUCAUUCCAUGUUUGCACUUCUAUUAUAGUAGAACAUGCCAUAAACAUGGCGCUGGGCAUUAUUUGUCCAGUUCCCUUCAAAAAGAAGAGAUGACUAUAGAGAGUGGCUGCAUCACUGAAGAGAUGACAAACGUUGUGCAAGGCAUUGUUUGUUUAGCUCUUUUCAAAAAUUAAGAAGUUACAAUGCAUGUGACAGAUAAAGAGGUUGUAGGUUGUGAAGGACAAAAUUCUAUGGAUCCAGAGGAGUGGGAGGGGAGAGUUUACCAACAUGUACAAGACAAGCGUGAAGCGGG